GAUGAACGCUGGCGGCGCGCCUAAUAUAUGCAAGUCGCGCGAACAGACGAGGAGCUUGCUCCUCUUACGUUAGCGGCGGACGGGUGAGUAACACGUGGAUAACCUACCUAUUAUACUGGGAUAACUUCGCGCAACCUGAGCUAAUACCGUAUAAUAUAUUUAACCGCCUGUCUCUAUUGUGACAGACGGUUUUGCUGUCACUUAUAGAUGUAUCCGCGCCGCAUUAGCUAGUUGGUAAGGUAACAGCUUACCAAGUCACCCAGUCGUAGCCGACCUCAGAGGAUGAUCGGCCCCCCUAGAUCUGAGACAGCGUCCAGACUCCUACCGCAGCCAGGAGUCGGGAAUUUUCCGCAGCGUGCGGAAGCCUGACGGAGCAACGCCGCGUGAGUGAUGAGCGGCUUCUGAGCGUAGAACUCUGUGAUUAGGGCAGAACAAAUGUGUAAGUAUCUAUGCACGUCUUGGCGGUACCUAAUCAGAAAGGCAAGGCUAAAUACGUG
rnacentral:rRNA from 1 species